GUGUCAGCAGCCGCGGUAAUACGGGGGGUGCAAGCGUUGUCCGGAAUGAUUGGGCGUAAAGCAUCUGUAGGUGGUUUUUAAAGUCGACUGUUAAAGCCCAGGGCUCAACUUUGGAUAAGCGGUCGAGUACUUAAGGACUUGAGUAUGGUAGGGGUAGAGGGAAUUCCUAGUGGAGCGGUGAAAUGCACAGAGAUUAGGAAGAACACCGAGGGCGAAAGCACUCUACUGGGCCAUGACUGACACUGAGAGAUGAAAGUUGGGGGAGCGAAAAGGAUUAGAUACCCUUGUAGUCCCAACCGUAAACGAUGGAUACUAAGUGCUGACAAAAUCAGUGCUGUAGCUAACGCGUUAAGUAUCCCGCCUGGGGAGUAUGCUCGCAAGAGUGAA
rnacentral:rRNA from 1 species